rnacentral:rRNA from 1 species
ACUCAAAGGAAUUGACGGGCACCCGCACAAGCGGUGGAGCAUGCUGUUUAAUUCGAAGAUACGCGAAGAACCUUACCUAGACUUGACAUCCCUGGCAAAGCUAUAGAAAUAUAGUGGAGGUUACCCAGGUGACAGGUGGUGCAUGGUUGUCGUCAGCUCGUGUCGUGAGAUGUUCGGUUAAGUCCGAUAACGAGCGCAACCCUUAUUAUUAGUUGCUAACAUUUAGUUGAGUUCUCUAAUGAUACUGCCGGUGAUAAACCGGAGGAAGGUGGGGAUGACGUCAAAUCAUCAUGCCCCUUACGUCUAGGGCUACAGGCGUGCUACAAUGGCCAUUACAAAGAGAAUGCAAGAUCGUGAGAUGGAGCUAAUCUUCAAAGAUGGUCCCAGUUCGGAUUGGAGUCUGCAACUCGACUCCAUGAAGUUGGAAUCGCUAGUAAUCCUGAAUCAGAAUGUCAGGGUGAAUACGUUCCCGGGUGUUGUACACACCGCCCGU